GACGAACGCUGGCGGCGUGCCUAAUACAUGCAAGUAGAACGCUGAAGGAGGAGCUUGCUUCUCUGGAUGAGUUGCGAACGGGUGAGUAACGCGUAGGUAACCUGCCUGGUAGCGGGGGAUAACUCUUGGAAACGAUAGCUAAUACCGCAUAAUAGUAGAUGUUGCAUGACAUUUGCUUAAAAGGUGCAAUUGCAUCACUACCAGAUGGACCUGCGUUGUAUUAGCUAGUUGGUGGGGUAACGGCUCACCAAGGCGACGAUACAUAGCCGACCUGAGAGGGGGAUCGGCCACACUGGGACUGAGACACGGCCCAGACUCCUACGGGAAGCAGCAGUAGGGAAUCUUCGGCAAUGGACGGAAGUCUGACCGGGCAACGCCGCGUGAGUGAAGAAGGGUUUCGGAUCGUAAAACUCUGUUGUAAGAGAAGAACGAGUGUGAGAGUGGAAAGUUCACACUGUGACGGUAUCUUACCAGAAAGGGACGGCUAACUACGUG
rnacentral:rRNA from 1 species